rnacentral:lncRNA from 1 species
CCAUCCACAAACUCUCAAUUCCUCUCAUCCUCUUCCUUUUUUCCUAUUUUGAUUAGGAUUCCAAAACCCUGGCCCAUGAACCCAAUCAUAGCUGCAUCCACGAACCCAAACUCAUUUGAAGCCCGCUUGAAUGAAGCCCUAUGUGCUAACCAGCCAUGCUUGAAGAUCCAACCGCACCCAAAUCACUACCGCAUGAAGAACCCAUGCGCACGC